GUGUGCUAGACGGGGAGCUAGCGGUGCCCUGUAACCCGGAACCCGCUAUACCGGGGUUGAAUUCCCACCGGAGGGUGCGGCUGUCGCCCGGGCGCGACCGAUAAGCGGUGCUGAUGGUUGGGUCCCGUACAACACGAGGCUUUUGAACCCCGUCAGGACCGGAAGGUAGCAGCGGUAGAAAGUUACUGGUGUGUGUUGCGGGUUCGCCCGGCCUGAGCUGGCUGUCGGAAGCCUCGUGCGAGAGCGGCUCAAUGGUGGGUGCACAC
rnacentral:SRP_RNA from 1 species